rnacentral:rRNA from 1 species
GCCCCUUGAAGACGACAAGGUAGAUAGGUUCUGAGUGGAAGCGCGGCAACGCGUGGAGCGAGGGAAUACUAAUAGGCCGAGGGCUUGACCUG